rnacentral:rRNA from 1 species
UUUUUGAAUUUAAUUUAAAGUCUAAUCUGCCCACUGAAUUUUUUGAAUGGCCGCAGUAAUUUGACUGUGCAAAGGUAGCAUAAUCAUUAGUUUUUUAAUUAAAAGCUGGAAUGAAGGAUUGGACGAGAAAAUAACUGUCUCUUUAUAAUUUAUUUAGAAUUUUAUAUUUAAGUUAAAAAGCUUAAAUAAGUUUAAAAGACGAGAAGACCCUAUAGAAUUUUAUAUAAAAAAUUUUUAAGUUAUUUUAGAAUUAAAGAGAUUUUGAGAUUAAUUUAUAUUUAAUUGGGGUGAUAGAAAAAUGUAAUAAACUUUUUUUUAAUAAAAUCAUUAAUUUAUGAAUUUUUGAUCCAUAUUGUAUGAUUAAAAGAUAAAAUUACCUUAGGGAUAACAGCGUAAUUUCUUUGUAGAGUUCUUAUSGUUAAAGAAGAUUGCGACCUCGAUGUUGGAUUAAAAUUUAAUUUUGGUGUAGAAGCUAAAAUUUUAGGUCUGUUCGACCUUUAAAAUUUUACA